GAUGAACGCUGGCGGUAUGCUUAACACAUGCAAGUCGAACGGUACCUUCGGGUAUAGUGGCGGACGGGUGAGUAACGCGUGAGAAUCUAUCUUCAGGUCGGGGACAACAGUUAGAAAUGACUGCUAAUACCGGAUGUGCCGAAAGGUAAAAGAUUUAUUGCCUGAAAAAGAGCUCGCGUCAGAUUAGCUAGUAGGUGGUGUAAGAGACUACCUAGGCUUCGAUCUGUAGCUGGUCUGAGAGGACGAUCAGCCACACUGGAACUGAGACACGGUCCAGACUCCUACGGGGGGCAGCAGUGGGGAAUUUUCCGCAAUGGGCGAAAGCCUGACGGAGCAAUACCGCGUGAGGGACGAAGGCUCUUGGGUCGUAAACCUCUUUUCUCAAGGAAGAUUCAGACGGUACUUGAGGAAUAAGCAUCGGCUAACUCUGUG
rnacentral:rRNA from 1 species